ACUUUGAAGAUGAAACUGAUUUUGCAGAGAACUUGAAGCUUUCAUGGACCAUGGUAGAGAGUGAGGGGAUUCAUUCAAGCACAUGCAACAACAUUUUCAUCUGGGGUGCAAGACCUGGUCAUAAUUUUCCUAGCAGAUUUUCAUUCUGAUUACUCUUUCGGUGCUCGUCCUUGGCAGAUCUUGUGCUGAUUAAGGAAGUUCUUUGAUGAGCUUAUAGUAUUAUGUAUGUAGUUCCGAAUGGCGUAUUGGCUAGGUCUUUUGGUGGAAGCGUCAUGUCCAUGGUUCAAAUCUCAUACUCGGCACUCAAACUUGGGACAGUGGGAUAUGACUGGGCAUGAGCACCUGCCACCAAGCUGAUGUGACAUGGUUCAAAUCGUCUUGAUAUGACAGUCACUCCAAUCAAAGAAAAUAAGUCUUUAUAAAUGACACGCUAGGGAAAGUGUGACGAAUGUGUAGCUAUUAUCUUGUUGUGAAGGUUAGACAAGGUAUCAUUCUUAUGAAGGUCAGACAAGGUAUCAUUGAAUUAUGUGACUCGUUUUUGGAAUUUCAAUUUUAUUCAUAUAUAUGCCGUUUUAAAUUUUUUUUUUCUUUCUUUUUUCCAGUUUUGUUUUAUAUUCGUCACUUCAACACUUGAUUGAUACUAACAUAUUAUUUCAAUGUUAGCGAUAUAGAACUCUUUCAUAGUCGCUCAUGUAUCUAGUAACUUGGAUCUCUGCAUCACACUUGACUUUGUAAUUUUGAUGCAGAACAACUAUUUGAUGGCCUCCUAUGUCAUUGUAACGUAAUUCUAUCUGCUUGAAUGGUGUAUUUAUGAGACAUGCCUUUGAUAGUGCCGUCACGAUAUAUGCAUGGAAUUACAGGGUUGUGCAGUGCUGGAUGGCAUGGGCAUUAGGGGUCUCACCACAGAACUGUUAAUCAUGCUCUGAUCACAGAGUCAUAAUUCAUCAUCCAGAUUUAUGUUCCUGUCUCCUUAGAAAUCAAGGACACACGGUAGUACAAUCCUAUAGAACAGAUCUUGUUCAAGUAAGGUCAUGACUGUUGCUCUCCACGUUGGUUAUAUAAACACUUACUUUUUUUUGAGUUUUAACAGUGUGGGACUAAUUUCUAGUUUUGUUGUUGUAAUGUAACUACGCUUUCGGAUUUUAUAUAUACAAAAAUGCUUCUGACUCUUGUAGCCAUUCAAGUUUUUACGGUAACAAAUUUGGUUUGACUUUUCCCAUAAUCCUUUGAUGCUCUCUGUAGAUACAUUGAAUUCCUGGUUCCAUUCUAGCAAUAAUGUUUCCAAAUCAUGUUGUUUGUAGAUCAAUAGGAACUAAACAGACACUUUGAAAAGCCCCAAUAUUAUGCAUGAUACCAUCAACAUUCAACACAGCCAUUUCAAGAAAAGGAACCCGAUUAUUACAAAGAAAGGUUGCAACAUUACUAUGAUGCAUUAUAUUAUAACCCCUUUAUUAAUAUCUUAACAGUAUGUGUU